rnacentral:tRNA from 1 species
GGGAGGGUGGUGAAAGAAUCACGGGCGGUUGUCACUCGCCUGUUGCGCUGUAAGGUGCCCCUCCCU